CCAAAUUAAAGGGAAUCUGUGGCCAUGAAAAAGAGGAAGAGAGUGGGAAGUGACUGUAUGGUUUAAGAGAAAUGUGGCAUUUAACUGUAUAUAUACAUUGCUGCAAGAAUGUGGGUGAUUUUUAGGGUAGAUUAAGAAGAAGAAUGAAGAGAUUGUGAAAAAGAAUCGUAAUGAAACGUAAGGUGGCAUAGGAGAGGCCAAACCGUGGCCUUCACUUGUGGUUGGG
rnacentral:lncRNA from 1 species